AUUCAGAAAGAGCUCUUAGGCAUCAACUAACCGGGCUAUUUUGGAAAGCGUUUGCAUUUUUGCCAGCUGGCUGCUAUUUUGAGUGAUUAUCUAGUUAUAACAACCCAAAGCUGCCUCCAGAAAACCUCCAAGAAACCCGCUUUCUCCCAGAGAGAACUCAUUUUAAAGAAAAAACACCAACAUUUUGGUGCCCUCAACGUGGGACAAAAUCCUGAUUUCACUGCAAGAGCUCUGAUCCUGAAUCCAGUGGAAAAGUCUUCUCAACCCAGAAAUAAGGGCGAGUACAAAGAAAUUGUUAAAGAGUUGAAGUAGACUUCCAAGAUGGCAACAUCUCUGGGCUCCAACACCUACAACAGGCAGAACUGGGAGGACACGGACUUCCCUAUUCUGUGUCAGACGUGCCUUGGAGAAAAUCCUUACAUCCGGAUGACCAAAGAAAAAUAUGGAAGAGAAUGCAAAAUUUGUGCCAGGCCAUUCACAGUGUUCCGCUGGUGCCCCGGUGUUCGCAUGCGUUUUAAGAAGACUGAAGUGUGCCAAACCUGCAGCAAGCUAAAAAAUGUAUGUCAGACCUGCCUUUUGGACCUAGAAUAUGGCUUACCUAUUCAGGUCCGUGAUGCAGGACUCUCCUGUAAGGAUGACAUACCUAAAUCUGAUGUGAACAAAGAAUAUUAUACCCAGAAUGUUGAGCGAGAGAUUGCUAACUCUGACGGAACUCUGCCAGUUGGUGUUCUUGGAAAAGCUACAGCUCCAAGUGACAUGCUGCUUAAAUUGGCUCGGACGACCCCUUAUUAUAAGCGGAAUCGUCCUCACGUUUGUUCCUUCUGGGUGAAAGGAGGAUGUAAAAGAGGAGAUGAGUGUCCAUACAGACAUCAGAAGCCUACAGACCCCGAUGAUCCUCUUGCCGAUCAGAACAUCAAAGAUCGAUAUUAUGGCAUUAAUGAUCCUGUGGCAGAUAAGCUUCUAAAACGGGCUUCAACAAUGCCUCGCCUGGACCCUCCAGAUGACAAGACCAUAACCACUCUGUACGUUGGUGAUCUGGGAAAUACAGUUAGUGAGACGGAUCUCAGAAAUCGCUUUUACCACUUUGGUGAGAUCCGAACAAUAACAGUUGUACAGAGACAACAAUGUGCUUUCAUCCAGUUUGCUACAAGGCAAGCUGCAGAGAUGGCUGCAAAGAAGUCCUUCAAUAAACUGAUUGUAAAUGGGCGCAGGCUUAAUGUGAAAUGGGGAAGAUCUCAAGCAACCAGAGGAAAAGAAGAAGGAACCACAGACUCUGGAAUUAAGCUGGAUCCUGUCCCAGGACUUCCCGGAGCUCUUCCUCCUCCUCCAGUAGCUGAAGAAGCCGCCUCUAACAAUUACUUUAAUUUCCCUCCCAGUGGUUUUCCAGCCGGGGUUCAUAUUGCCCUGCCGCCACCUCCUGGCAUUGCACCUCCUCCCCCACCAGGUUUUGGACCACACAUGUUCCACCCGAUGGGACCACCACCUCCCUUCAUGGGAGCUCCAGGACCCAUCCACUAUCCUUCUCAAGAUCCCCAGAGGAUGGGGGCUCAUGCAGGAAAACACAGCAGUCCCUAACAUCCUGCUACAAUGGUUGGGCUCUCAGGAGAAAAAGCGCUUUAGAAAUGUAAUAAUUAAAUCUUGGAGUAAAUAUUUUUUUCCUUUGUAAGUUUCCAUGGUGACAUAACAUGCUAAGUUAUGGGAAGAGCUGAAACAGAGUUCCCAAGCACAGGGCAGGUGGAGAAGCCCUGCCAAACUCAUAUUAACAAGUAUGGUCACCGAUGUAACAAUGUCCUUUGCUUCUUAAUCACAGGAAAAAAAGUGUUAGGAUGAGUGUGAAACUUCUGGGAAUCUUUGGGAGAUUUGUAAUUCCAAUUGUAUGUAUUUGUGUGUUGGGUUUGACCAAACUUUGACCUAGGGUGAAAGCAAAUGUUUGACAAUAUUUUUAAAAUAAUUCUUUUGCUUGUACUAGGAAUUAAGGAGUCAUUAAGUAGAAUUUCAGUUAAGAUGGGACAGAUGUUUAGAAAACAGCCUUCUGUUUCUGUGCAAGGAAAAUGUUUAGAGAGCAUUGUUAAGGUUAUGGAAAGCCAACGGAGCAGAUCACUAAAUUUUUAGAAAUUUAACAUAUAUCCCUUAUACUAUGACAAAUUUAACAUAUGGGACUGCUUGUCAUCUAGGGCAGGGGGUGGAGGGAG